CAAGACAAAGGCAAAACUCCAUUACACACGUGGGAACACAAAACCAGCAUAAUACUUUAAAAUGCACAAAGUAACAUUUACUACAUAAAACACAGACAUGUAACCUAUCCCCAGAUAGCUCAGGUCUGAGUGCACAUUAUUAGGUGAAUGGCACUCAGACCACACGAAUACAGUUCAAUCGCCAUGGAGCCAAAGUCUUUACAGUCAGUUUCAUACGAAUGGGCUCCAUGGGAUUCCUAUCUGGGGUAUAAGACAUUCACACAAUAAUACCGAACACCGGGUCAUUCGUGUGCUUUCACCGAACAAGAAGGGAGGUCGGCGGCUUCAGCGGUGUUCGUGCAAAACUGUGUCCGAUUUUAGUUCCAUGAAAAUAGAGGCGAACACCGCUGUUCAUUCGUAUGGUUUAAAAUGGCCGCGACCUCGUGUUCGGGAUACGAACGGCGGCCACCCAGCGUCCAUCAAUUAAGCUGCGGUUAACCGCAGCUUCAGGGAGGUUAAUUGCCGGCACACUCCAGCUCCCAGGUGGUCCAGUCAUUCGU
rnacentral:lncRNA from 1 species